rnacentral:misc_RNA from 1 species
CCCUAGCCCCGAUAGUAACGGUUACCCCACAGCAAGCGAUGGGAAAGACUUGGCGCGAGGAGUAAUAGUGGAUAGCGGGAUUAAGC